GGAAUCCUGACAGACAGUUCCCUCUCAGCAAGGCAGAGCGCUUGCCUCAAGGUUGAUCCGGCGUCCUGUUCCUGUGGUCAGUCAUUGUUGGCCUCAUGGAGGUGCACAACUGGACCACAUCGGAGUAUGGUGCUGGUGGGCUUCCCCUCCACGGCUUGGUGGACUUUAGACUCCAUAUGCCAAUAGCCUCCCAUGCUCACGCAAUCCC